CAAAAACGACAUACUUUCAUUUGGUUUUUUGAUUGAUACAGAUGAUCAUUGGAAAAUCUACACAUUAUUCUAAUAAUCAUAUAGCUAACAAAUUAUAACAAAAAGUAAUUAAGACAGAAGGUACGGUACAACAAUGAGAUGGAAGGGGAACAAAGCUAGGACUAAUCAACAAGAGAACUGCUGUUCUCCGAGGCACACUUCAAUUUCAUCAUUGACUGAUCAUAAGCAGCUUCCUCCCAAUCUUGUUGUUGGUGAAUGCAUGACCGAUCCCGGGGCUGUGGGUCGGUGUAGUGGGGCGAACGUCCUCUGUCGCUGCCGGAACACCGCCCUCUGUUGGAGUGAUCGUGCCUUCCAUCAUCCCUUUUGUGGUGGAAGCUGACUGCAAUAGGUGUCUUCUAUUUACUAUCAGAGGAGUGCCAUGAGAUGGAAUGAUUUGAGAGGCUAGAAGUAGGACAACCACCAUCAGAGCAGCUUUGCUCAUGUUGUUAGAUGACUUGUUAAGGGCCAUUUGUCGUGGAGAAAGGGUUGAUCCUAGCUAAUCCAAGAGCUAAGGUGCAGUUACUUAAAACUACCUAUCGCUUGCUGAUGGAUGGCUGC
rnacentral:lncRNA from 1 species